GAUUGACCUUCUUACAUGGCUUCCUGAAGCCCAAGCUCCACUGAGCAUCUCACUGGAGAAGAGUCAGAUCAGCUAAACAGACAGGACAUUCCAAGAGGAAUCUUUGCGCCCUUGGAUCCUUAAUGAACAGACUGACAAUGAAUGUGUAGCCUCAUACCCCUGAGUAAAAUAAGACCUCUCAGGAAUGCUGGCAUGAGACAAGGAGAAAUGCUGGAAUACUAAUUCUCUGGUGCAAAGCUCUUCAUCCUGACACUUCUGCUAAGUUGUGGCUAAGCAGUGAACAUUGGAGAUGCAAAUGUCACAGUGAAUUGUAUCUGGGCAGUGGGUGCUGGUUGAGGAGGAGACAUUCAGAACGCAAUUUUCAUCAGAUGACAAAGCAGACAAACAGCUCCAGUUACAGAGCAGGCUGCACUGUGCUGACCUCAGGGAGCUGCUGGUAUGAGAAGGUGGUGGUGUCUGUUCUGCUGGAGCUGUAAGAGUGCUGUCAUGAAACCCUAACAGGAAGGCUCAGCUGUGCAGCAUGGACACCUUUGUUGUACUCCCACCUUAAACUACGAUUAACAUUCUGGACCCCCCACGUGUCCCUGAAGACCACCCAGCCUAUGUGUCAGGUACACCGUUCCUGAGAGCUGGCUGCUGGCUGUAGCACGUACGGCACCCGAAGGAGGGACCGCCUCAGCGGCUCCGUUCUGCCACCUGCUGGCAACUUGUGCCCGGAGCACAAAUAGAGCAGGGCUGCCUGCGUGAGCUCCCCGUGACUGACAGGAGCUGCUGGAGCCCGAGGCUGAGGGGAAAGAAAACUCAUGGGGAUGAAACGGGCCAGGGGACGAGGGGACAGGCGCAGCCACUCUCCCAGCUGAUGCCUCUGGGCCUUGACUUCCUCUGCCUGAUUGCCUGUGGGGGCUGAACUUUCUGCGAGCCUCUGAAGCUGAGAGUGAGCUCUGACUUGUCCCUCAC